AUUGAACGCUGGCGGCAGGCUUAACACAUGCAAGUCGAGCGGAGAUGAGGUGCUUGCACCUUAUCUUAGCGGCGGACGGGUGAGUAAUGCUUAGGAAUCUGCCUAUUAGUGGGGGACAACAUUCCGAAAGGAAUGCUAAUACCGCAUACGUCCUACGGGAGAAAGCAGGGGAUCUUCGGACCUUGCGCUAAUAGAUGAGCCUAAGUCGGAUUAGCUAGUUGGUGGGGUAAAGGCCUACCAAGGCGACGAUCUGUAGCGGGUCUGAGAGGAUGGUCAGCCAGACUGUGACUGAGACACGGCCCAGACUCCUGCGGGAGGCAGCAGUGGGGAAUAUUGGACAAUGGGGGGAACCCUGAUCCAGCCAUGCCGCGUGUGUGAAGAAGGCCUUAUGGUUGUAAAGCACUUUAAGCGAGGAGGAGGCUACUGAGACUAAUACUCUUGGAUAGUGGACGUUACUCGCAGAAUAAGCACCGGCUAACUCUGUGCCAGCCGCCGCGGUAACAC
rnacentral:rRNA from 1 species